CAGUAGCCACGGGAAAACGGAGGGGGCGAGCGUUGUCCGGAAUUAUUGGGCGUAAAGCGCGUGUAGGCGGCUCAGCAAGUCCGCUCUGAAAGCCCAGGGCUCAACCCUGGGAUGCGGGUGGAUACUGCUGAGCUCGAGUCCGGAAGAGGCGAGUGGAAUUCCUGGUGUAGCGGUGAAAUGCGCAGAUAUCAGGAGGAACACCAAUGGCGAAGGCAGCUCGCUGGGACGUGACUGACGCUGAGACGCGAAAGCGUGGGGAGCAAACAGGAUUAGAUACCCCCGUAGUCCCUGUCUCUUAUAC
rnacentral:rRNA from 1 species